rnacentral:rRNA from 1 species
UACGUAGGGCGCAAGCGUUGUCCGGAAUUAUUGGGCGUAAAGAGCUCGUAGGCGGUUUGUCACGUCGGAUGUGAAACCCCGGGGCUUAACUCCGGGCCUGCAUUCGAUACGGGCUGACUAGAGUUCGGCAGGGGAGACUGGAAUUCCUGGUGUAGCGGUGAAAUGCGUAGAGAUCAGGAGGAACACCGGUGGCGAAGGCGGAUCUCUGGGCCUUACCUGACGCUGAGGCGCGAAAGCUAGGGGAGCGAACAGG